rnacentral:rRNA from 1 species
AUUGAACGCUGGCGGCAUGCCUUACACAUGCAAGUCGAACGGCAGCACGGGUGCUUGCACCUGGUGGCGAGUGGCGAACGGGUGAGUAAUACAUCGGAACAUGUCCUGUAGUGGGGGAUAGCCCGGCGAAAGCCGGAUUAAUACCGCAUACGAUCCACGGAUGAAAGCGGGGGACCUUCGGGCCUCGCGCUAUAGGGUUGGCCGAUGGCUGAUUAGCUAGUUGGUGGGGUAAAGGCCUACCAAGGCGACGAUCAGUAGCUGGUCUGAGAGGACGACCAGCCACACUGGGACUGAGACACGGCCCAGACUCCUACGGGAGGCAGUAGUGGGGAAUUUUGGACAAUGGGCGAAAGCCUGAUCCAGCAAUGCCGCGUGUGUGAAGAAGGCCUUCGGGUUGUAAAGCACUUUUGUCCGGAAAGAAAUCCUUGGCUCUAAUACAGUCGGGGGAUGACGGUACCGGAAGAAUAAGCACCGGCUAACUACGUG